AUUGAACGCUGGCGGCAUGCCUUACACAUGCAAGUCGAACGGCAGCACGGGAGCAAUCCUGGUGGCGAGUGGCGAACGGGUGAGUAAUAUAUCGGAACGUGCCCAGUCGUGGGGGAUAACGUAGCGAAAGCUACGCUAAUACCGCAUACGAUCUAUGGAUGAAAGCGGGGGAUCGCAAGACCUCGCGCGAUUGGAGCGGCCGAUAUCAGAUUAGGUAGUUGGUGGGGUAAAAGCCUACCAAGCCUUCGAUCUGUAGCUGGUCUGAGAGGACGACCAGCCACACUGGAACUGAGACACGGUCCAGACUCCUACGGGAGGCAGCAGUGGGGAAUUUUGGACAAUGGGCGCAAGCCUGAUCCAGCAAUGCCGCGUGCAGGAUGAAGGCCUCGGGUUGUAAACUGCUUUUGUACGGAACGAACGGACUCUUUCUAAUAAAGGGAGCUAAUGACGGUACCGUAAGAAUAAG
rnacentral:rRNA from 1 species